UACGUAGGGGGCAAGCGUUGUCCGGAGUUACUGGGCGUAAAGGGCACGCAGGCGGUUGUGUCAGUUUGCGGGGACAGUGGGUGGCUUAACUACCCAAGGGUCGCAAAGACGGCACGACUGGAGAGCGAGAGAGGGACCUGGAACUCCGGGUGGAGCGGUGAAAUGCGUAGAGAUCCGGAAGAACACCACUGGCGCAGGCAAGGUCCUGGCUCGUAUCUGACGCUGAGGUGCGAAAGCUAGGGGAGCAAACAGG
rnacentral:rRNA from 1 species